AGAACGAACGCUGGCGGCAGGCUUAACACAUGCAAGUCGAACGCAUCUCUUCGGAGAUGAGUGGCAGACGGGUGAGUAACGUGUGGGAACGUACCCUUUGGUUCGGGAUAACCCGGGGGAAACUCGGGCUAAUACCGGAUAAGCCGGGAAAACGGGAAAGGUUUACUGCCGAAGGAUCGGCCCGCGUCGGAUUAGCUAGUUGGUGUGGUAACGGCGCACCAAGGGCGACGAUCCGUAGCUGGUCUGAGAGGAUGAUCAGCCACACUGGGACUGAGACACGGCCCAGACUCCUACGGGAGGCAGCAGUGGGGAAUAUUGGACAAUGGGCGCAAGCCUGAUCCAGCCAUGCCGCGUGAGUGAAGAGGCCUAGGGUUGUAAGCUCUUCAGCGGGACGAUAAUGACGGUACCGCAAGAAGACGCCCGCUAACGUUCGCGCCA
rnacentral:rRNA from 1 species